UGGGGAAUAUUGGACAAUGGGCGAAAGCCUGAUCCAGCCAUGCCGCGUGAGUGAUGAAGGCCCUAGGGUUGUAAAGCUCUUUUGUGCGGGAAGAUAAUGACGGUACCGCAAGAAUAAGCCCCGGCUAACUUCGUGCCAGCAGCCGCGGUAAUACGAAGGGGGCUAGCGUUGCUCGGAAUCACUGGGCGUAAAGGGUGCGUAGGCGGGUUUCUAAGUCAGAGGUGAAAGCCUGGAGCUCAACUCCAGAACUGCCUUUGAUACUGGAAGUCUUGAGUUCGGGAGAGGUGAGUGGAGCUGCGAGUGUAGAGGUGAAAUUCGUAGAUAUUCGCAAGAACACCAGUGGCGAAGGCGGCUCACUGGCCCGAUACUGACGCUGAGGCACGAAAGCGUGGGGAGCAAACA
rnacentral:rRNA from 1 species